GCCGGGGUAGCUCAGUUGGUUAGAGCGUGGGACUCAUAAACCCAAGGUCGCGAGUUCGAUUCUCGCCUCCGGCACCA
rnacentral:tRNA from 1 species